CUCGGCGAUCGGCGGGGUCGGCAGGGCGAUGUUGAAAUCACCGCGGCCGAUCUGGUCGGCAGCGGCGGACAGCCGCUCGAUCGGCUCGCCGAAAC
rnacentral:tRNA from 1 species